AACGAACGCUGGCGGCAGGCCUAACACAUGCAAGUCGAACGCUCGUAGCAAUACGGGAGUGGCAGACGGGUGAGUAACACGUGGGAACCUUCCCUAUGGUUCGGAAUAGCUCAGGGAAACUUGGGGUAAUACCGGAUAAGCCCUUCGGGGAAAGAUUUAUCGCCAUUGGAUGGGCCCGCGUCGGAUUAGCUAGUUGGUGAGGUAACGGCUCACCAAGGCAACGAUCCGUAGCUGGUCUGAGAGGAUGAUCAGCCACACUGGGACUGAGACACGGCCCAGACUCCUACGGGAGGCAGCAGUGGGGAAUAUUGGACAAUGGGCGCAAGCCUGAUCCAGCCAUGCCGCGUGAGUGACGAAGGUCUUCGGAUUGUAAAACUC
rnacentral:rRNA from 1 species